rnacentral:tRNA from 1 species
UCCCAUAUGUCUAGUGGUUUAGGAUUUGGCGCUUCCACCGCCAAGCCCGGGUUCAAUUCCCGGUGUGGGAA